rnacentral:rRNA from 1 species
AUUGAACGCUGGCGGCAUGCUUUACACAUGCAAGUCGAACGGUAACAGGCCUUCGGGUGCUGACGAGUGGCGAACGGGUGAGUAAUGCAUCGGAACGUACCCAGAGGUGGGGGAUAACGCAGCGAAAGCUGUGCUAAUACCGCAUGUGAUCUGAGGAUGAAAGCGGGGGACCGAGCAGCAAUGUUUGGCCUCGCGCCUUUGGAGCGGCCGAUGUCGGAUUAGCUAGUUGGUGGGAUAAAGGCCUACCAAGGCGACGAUCCGUAGCUGGUCUGAGAGGACGACCGGCCACACUGGGACUGAGACACGGCCCAGACUCCUACGGGAGGCAGCAGUGGGGAAUUUUGGACAAUGGGCGCAAGCCUGAUCCAGCAAUGCCGCGUGCGGGAAGAAGGCCUUCGGGUUGUAAACCGCUUUUGGCAGGAACGAAACGGUGUCCGCUAAUACCGGGCGCUAAUGACGGUACCUGCAGAAUAAGCACCGGCUAACUACGUG